GAUGGACGCUGGCGGCGUGCCUAAUACAUGCAAGUCGCGCGAACGGACGAGAAGCUUGCUUUUCUGAUGUUAGCGGCGGACGGGUGAGUAACACGUGGAUAACCUACCUAUAAGACUGGGAUAACUUCGGGAAACCGGAGCUAAUACCGGAUAAUAUUUUGAACCGCAUGGUUCAAAAGUGAAAGACGGUCUUGCUGUCACUUAUAGAUGGAUCCGCGCUGCAUUAGCUAGUUGGUAAGGUAACGGCUUACCAAGGCAACGAUGCAUAGCCGACCUGAGAGGGUGAUCGGCCACACUGGAACUGAGACACGGUCCAGACUCCUACGGGAGGCAGCAGUAGGGAAUCUUCCGCAAUGGGCGAAAGCCUGACGGAGCAACGCCGCGUGAGUGAUGAAGGUCUUCGGAUCGUAAAACUCUGUUAUUAGGGAAGAACAUAUGUGUAAGUAACUGUGCACAUCUUGACGGUACCUAAUCAGAAAGCCACGGCUAACUACGUG
rnacentral:rRNA from 1 species